CAAGCAAGGAAAAUUGGACAUGAUCCAAUAAAGGAAGAAUGGACAUGACCCAAUUAAAAAGACAUGGGAGAAGUCCAUGAAUAAGAGUCCAAAAACAACAAAGGAAGAAAAAUCCAAAAGAAAAGGAAGGUGGAGAUUUGGGCCAACCUAGCUUAAUUGGGAAAGCGUGUUGAACGAAGUAGGUGACGGGCGAUUAGGUAUAAUUAUAUGCAUAUACGAAGUAAUAGCGAUGUAGAAAUCCCGCUAUUGUGAGGAUCAGAGUAAGCUGUAAAUAGCUGAUUCCAUUGAGGGCUUCUAUUGGAUUAGCGUCCUCCACACAGUAGGUUCACAG